AAAUGCAAAAGGGCUUGUCCUGCAGUGACCGAGCUUAGCGACUAAAGAGCUCCAAAGGCAACAAUGUCAGAGCUGCUCCUUCUUGACACAAGACACGGAAGCAGUUGUGUUUGCUUAACUGAAGGCCUGUCACCCGUUGUUUGGCUAACUGCAGUGUACGGAUAUGUGGGAAAGAUUCAGACCCAAUGAAAAGAGAAAGGCACGUGUGAGUCUGCCUACACACUGCCACGGAGUUCACAGAUCAUGACCUGAGCGACACCGGUUGCAGGGUAUGUUUGAAGCUAUGGCACAUGGUACCAUGUGCCACCAAAGAGAGGAUGAGCAGAGGGCCCCUGCAGCACCACCGCAAGUGUACAAUGCCUCUGGGUUUCAUGGUUUUUGUUUGCUUUGUUUUUCAUUUUUAAAGAAUUUAUAAGAAUUUUUACAUUUCACUUUGU
rnacentral:lncRNA from 1 species